rnacentral:rRNA from 1 species
UACGAAGGGGGCUAGCGUUGCUCGGAAUCACUGGGCGUAAAGGGUGCGUAGGCGGGUCUUUAAGUCAGAGGUGAAAGCCUGGAGCUCAACUCCAGAACUGCCUUUGAUACUGAGGAGCUCGAGUUCGGGAGAGGUGAGUGGAACUGCGAGUGUAGAGGUGAAAUUCGUAGAUAUUCGCAAGAACACCAGUGGCGAAGGCGGCUCACUGGCCCGAUACUGACGCUGAGGCACGAAAGCGUGGGGAGCAAACAGG